GGAAAUCACAUCUUGAAAUUAAUUAUUGCUAAUGAAUAUCAAAAGCCUCAAGGGUCCAUUUCAUAUGCAACCUUGCCGAAAUCCUUUGCUGGGAGGCUGAGGCUUAUUAUUUACUGACCAAUAUCCCUUUAAACUUGAAGAAUCACCUGCGUUAACCUCGGUUAAAAGAGCAGAGAUGAAAGAUAGACGUGAUUCUGUCAGCCAAUACAACACUGAUGAACACAUCUGCAGUUCAGAUCUCAACACUUCAGUCUGCUGAUUGCAAUUUGUAUUGUUGUAUUUUAAGGGCCCCUGUUUGAUUUAAUUAAAACAACAGAUUGCUAAUUAGUUUGCUAAUGACUUUCACACAGUAGUCCCUAUGACUAAUUCUCUAGAUGACAGUAAUUAGGGCAUUUUUUCCCCUGUUUCCACGUGAAUUCCUGUUCUCAAAUGAACACAUGACAUUCGGAUUUUGCUCUUUAGCUUGUCCUGCCAUCAUUGAGAUAUACAGUGAAUAGAAAAUAGUGUAGGACUUACUUUAAAAUAAAUUUCACUCAGAUUUACUAGGGGAAAAAACACAAAUAAUCAAAAUAAAAAAACAAGCAGUAAUGAAGCAUUUGUGACCAAGGACCACAAAACCAGUCAUAAGGGUCAAUUUUCUGAAAUUGAGAUUUAUACAUGAUAAAGAAAAAAAGCUGAAUAAAUAAUCUCUCCAUUGAUGUCUGGUUUGUUAGGAGGACAAUAUUUGAAAAUCUGGAAUCUGAGGGUGCAAAAAAAUCUAAAUAUUGAGAAAAUCAUCUUUAAAGUUGUUCAAAUGAAGUUCUUAGCAAUGCAUAUUACUAAUCAAAAAUUAAGUUUUGAUAUAUUUACAUGACAAAAUAUCUUCAUGGAACAUGAUCUUUACUUAAUAUCCUAAUGAUUUUUGGCAUAAAAGAAAAAUCUAUAAUUUUGACCCAUACGAUGUAUUGUUGUCUAUUGCUACAAAUAUAGUAAAUAACAGUCGCUGGCGCCGAUACAGGAUGGCUGCCUCCGUGACGUGCUCUGCAGUUGUUUUUGUGUUUUUGUUAGUUUAUCCUGUCUUUAGUUAUAUUCCUGCAAUCCAUACAAUUGUCAUUUGUAUAUUGUCAUUCCUUACCUACUGAUUUGUAUUUUCUGUAUUUUUUAUUCUUUUAUUGUGUGUUUUUUGUUCUGUCGCUGUCAUUCUGUUGCACUGCGGAGCUUCUGUCACGAAAACAAAUUCCUCGUAUGUGUAAACAUACCUGGCAAUAAAGCUCAUUCUGAUUCUGAUUCUGAUUCUGAUAUACCCCAGCGUAUAGUUUGGUCUUUGGAUGGGAAGGUCUUUAUUUCUUAGACUGCAUUGUGGUACUCACUACAUACAACAGACUUCAAAGACACUGCUAUAUGUAUUUUCAACAUUUCAACGAGUCUUUCAGCAUAAUCAGUACAUUAGAAACAUGUACUUCAUGAAGCUGGUCAUAUAGGCAUUAUCAUUUACUGCCCGUUAUUAACAUAAUUUGAAGUGGAUGUGCAGAACAAUGCAACUGCGUACAUUAUCUUUGUAGAAAACUUCUCCAGGUUAUGCAUGGUACGCUAUGGGAACACCUCCAGUGUGACCACGCUCUUAAUCAC
ensembl:lncRNA